rnacentral:tRNA from 1 species
GCCGGGGUGGCGGAAUUCGGUAUACGCAUGGGACUUAAAAUCCCAGGGGCCGCAAGGCCCGUACGGGUUCAAAUCCCGUCCCCGGCACCA